rnacentral:rRNA from 1 species
GAUCAUGGCUCAGGACGAACGCUGGCGGCGUGCCUAACACAUGCAAGUCGAGCGAUGAAAUCCUUCGGGAUGGAUUAGCGGCGGACGGGUGAGUAACACGUGGGUAACCUGCCUUGUAGAGGGGGAUAGCCUUCCGAAAGGAAGAUUAAUACCGCAUAACAUCUUUUUAUCGCAUGGUAGAAAGAUCAAAGGAGUAAUCCGCUACAAGAUGGACCCGCGGCGCAUUAGCUAGUUGGUGAGGUAACGGCUCACCAAGGCGACGAUGCGUAGCCGACCUGAGAGGGUGAUCGGCCACAUUGGAACUGAGACACGGUCCAGACUCCUACGGGAGGCAGCAGUGGGGAAUAUUGCGCAAUGGGGGAAAACCCCUGACGCAGCAACGCCGCGUGAAUGAAGAGGGCCUUAGGGUUGUAAAGUUCUGUUUACGGGGACGAUAAUGACGGUACCCGUGGAGGAAGCCACGGCUAACUACGUGCCAGCAGCCGC